UACGUAGGUGGCGAACGUUGUCCGGAUUUACUGGGCGUAAAGCGCGCGCAGGCGGACCGAUAAGUCAGAGGUGAAAUCUCCCGGCUCAACUGGGAGCGGCCCUUUGAUACUGUCGGUCUUGAGAUGCCUAGAGGAGAGUGGAAUUCCCGGUGUAGUGGUGGAAUGCGUAGAUAUCGGGAGGAACACCAGUGGCGAAGGCGGUCUUCUGGGAUGAUCCUGACGCUCAGACACGAAAGCUAGGGGAGCGAACGGG
rnacentral:rRNA from 1 species